rnacentral:rRNA from 1 species
UCAGCCGCCGCGGUAACACCGGCAGCUCUAGUGGUAGCCAUUUUUAUUGGGCCUAAAGCGUUCGUAGCCGGUUUGAUAAGUCUCUGGUGAAAUCCUAUAGCUUAACUGUGGGACUUGCUGGAGAUACUAUUAGACUUGAGGUCGGGAGAGGUUAGCGGUACUCCCAGGGUAGGGGUGAAAUCCUGUAAUCCUGGGAGGACCACCUGUGGCGAAGGCGGCUAACUGGAACGAACCUGACGGUGAGGGACGAAAGCCAGGGGCGCGAACCGGAUUAGAUACCCGGGUAGUCCUGGCCGUAAACGAUGUGGACUUGGUGUUGGAAUGGCUUCGAGCUGCUCCAGUGCCGAAGGGAAGCUGUUAAGUCCACCGCC